rnacentral:lncRNA from 1 species
UCAUUGUUGAGCAGUUCUGCUCUGCUGAAGCAUAACAUUAUAAAGAGGACCUUAAGGAACAUUUUAAGUUCUGCUGACAUACCGGUAGACACCACAGGAGAGAAAUAAUGCCUAAUACAUUAAUUCUGCAUUUAAAUACAGUGAAUUUUGUAACAAUAUGCAAUUUAGUGUACAUUACAAAUGCUCAGCCAUUGAUGUGUAUUGAAAGAUAAUCUAAUAUAAUGAUGUGGAAAUACAUGAAUACAGUUCAGCUAAAGAGAUUCCCUUGGUAAUCGUCAAUUGAAGUAUAAAGGCCAUGGUCCAAUCAAAACAGUAGGGAGUAAGACACCACAUGAAUGCCAGUGGGACAUUUGCGGCAUGAAUCCAAUAGUACUGGCUAUUUACACUCCGUUCCAAGUCUCCAACCUUCAGGCACCCCUAUUGUCACAAAUACCCUUUCUUGUAUGUCAUGUUCCCCCUCAGCUCUUGGUAGUUUUAAGAGUUACUAUGACGUUUGGUGACAUGUUGUUUUUAUCCAUGAAUCAUUAGGGCUGGGAAUUGUCAGGGACCUAACGAUACUUAGGUGCCAAUACGAUAUGUAUUGCGAUUCCCACGAUUCUGUAUGUAUUGCGAUUCAAUACUGUGAUUUUACUGCGAUUUAAUGUUGUAAACAUAUUGCUCACCAAAUGUCUGCUGCAGAGGGACAAGAGAGAGCCAUGAGCCUAUUUAAAAAGAAGAUGGAGAACAAGCGAUGAAGGAAAAAUACUAGCGGUUUGGUGCAGGUACAGCCAACUAGCGCAAAAAUAAUAUUGCAAUAUUGUUAAAAUGAUACGAUAUAUUGUCAAAAAUAAUAUCCAAUCACGAUUAAUCAUUCCCUUGUGCUAUUAUCAUCAUCUCUACUAUGACAACCAGUGAUUUUACCCUUGCAAACCAAGGCGCUAAGUACGUAUUCUGACGUACUUAGCACGGACCUCUCAGUAGGUCUGUCUCUUAGACACCCUUUGCUGGCACCUGUCACUCUUUUGUCUACAGGACAAACCCACCUGUCCUUUGAACCCCAUGGAGCUGAUGGGCUGAGGAGUGGGGGUUGACGGAGUUGACAAAGUUUGAGCGGUGGAGCAGAGCCUCUGAAUCCUCUCUCUGAGGUUCGAGAGGACCCUGUUGGAUACUGAGAUUAAAGACAGAGCAGAGAGUGGAUAAAGCCAUAGGUAACCUUUUCAAGGGCAGGGACAAUUGGCUAGUGAGCAGUGUGUCUGAUGGCUUCGUAACUCUGGCGCAGGCUCUGAGGUUUACUCUGCUACAGGAGGAAGCCAACAGAAUCCAUUCCCCGCCAACGUGCAGAGAAUUUGGUAGUACAUCCAACCAGCCUCACAACCGUAACCACGCCAGCCCAGGACCUCCACAUCUGGCUUCUUCACCUUUGAGAUUGUCUGAGGGGGUGCUGAGGCAUAUUUCUGUCUG